AUGCAGACGCUGAGGGAAAUUCUAGCUACAUAUGAGGAGGCGUCCGGUCAGCGUGUUAACUUGCAGAAAUCAUCAAUCUUCUUCGGGAGAGGGUGUCAAGAGACGACCAAGGAGGAGCUCAAAGCUGCCCUUGGGGUACAAUCAGAAGCGCUUAACGAGAAGUACCUUGGCCUUCCAACACUGGUUGGAAGAUCUAAAGAUGGUACUUUCACGUAUGUGAUGGAG
rnacentral:rRNA from 1 species